rnacentral:misc_RNA from 1 species
GGGAGGUUGAAAUUCCUCUAACCAAGUCACUUCAGAAACCGAAACUCCAUCUCCAUCCAAUUGAAAAUCACCAGGAAGAUCCUUCCUUGGCGACUUUCGGAAAUAAGUACAGUGUCGUCCAUGUUCUGAUGAGUAAGGGGGAGAAAGGAUGUCAAAAAUAGCGCAGGGUGUGAUGGCUCUGAAGCUAUGGAUAUUGCCUCCACUUGUGGGAUAUAGAAUAGUAGUUGGAGUAG